GGAAGCGGAAAGGGCACUGGUGGCCCUCCCGGACUUCAAAUCCGGUGUACCGUCUGAGAAAGGCGGUAGGUGGGUUCGAUUCCCAUGCGCUUCCGCCA
rnacentral:tRNA from 1 species